rnacentral:rRNA from 1 species
GACGAACGCUGGCGGCGUGCCUAAUACAUGCAAGUCGAACGCAGUGGGGACGGGUGAGUAACACGUGGGUAACCUCCCAUCAGAGGGGAUAACACUUGGAAACAGGUGCUAAACCGAUACUGAUGGAUGGACCCGCGGUGCAUUAGCUAGUUGGUGGGGUAACGGCUCACCAAGGCCCCGAUGCAUAGCCUGCAGGCGAGGGUGAUUGGCCAUCCUGGGACUGCGACACGGCCCAGACUCCUAAGGGAGGCAGAAGUAGGGAAUCUUCUGCAAUGGACGAAAGUCUGACCGAGCAACGCCGCGUGAGUGAAGAAGGUUUUCGGAUCGUAAAACUCUGUUGUUAGAGAAGCGUUAUCUAACCAGAAAGCCACGGCUAACUACGUGCCAGCAGCCGCGGUAAUUC